rnacentral:rRNA from 1 species
UACAGAGGUGCCGAGCGUUAGGCGGAAUCACUGGGCUUAAAGCGUGUGUAGGCGGAUGCCUAAGUACCGUUGUGAAAUCCCCGGCUUAACCGGGAACUGCUUGGUAUACUGGGUGUCUUGAGCCACUUAGGGGCGACGGAACAACGGUGGAGCGGGUGAAUGCGUAGAUAUCGUUGGAACGCCAAUGGUGAAACAGGUCGCUGGACGUGUGCUGACGCGAGACACGAAGCCGGGAGCGAACGGG